GACGAACGCUGGCGGCGUGCCUAAUACAUGCAAGUCGAACGGAGCGGCGCACGGGUGAGUAACGCGUGAGUAACUGCCCCCCUCUCUGGGCUGACAGUUGGAAACGGCUGCUAAUACCGGAUAGUGGGGGAUGAUACGCGGCCUAUCAGCUUGUUGGUGGGGUAGUGGCCUACCAAUGCGACGACGGGUAGCCGGCCUGAGAGGGCGACCGGCCACAUUGGGCUGGGAGAGCGCCCAAAGGCCUACGGGAGGAAGCAGUGGGGAAUAGUGCACGACGGGGGAAGCGCUGAUGCAGCAACGCCGCGUGGGAGAUGACGGUGUUCGGGGUGGAAACCGCUUUCAGCCAUGACGCGGUAGUGGCAGAAGAAGCACCGGCUAACUACGUGCCAGCAGCCGCGGUAAUAC
rnacentral:rRNA from 1 species